AAUGGCAAUAUCAUAAUGGCAAGUGAUAGCCUAACCAACAGUCCCAGCGAUGUGCUGACAAAUUCAAUUAGAGUUAAAGUUACAGUUAAAGUUGAAGAGGUGCGGAAGAGCAACAAAAGGCUCGGCAUGGUGCCCCUUGGCAUGGGCGAGAGGGGCGAGGAGGUAUGCGAAUAGCAUAAAGGGAACUGCAGGCAAAAGUGGAUUAUGUGGCUGAUGGAAUACAAUAAGUGGGCCAACAACAAAGUUUGCCAGAUAUUUCUAUCAUUUGUAUAUAAAUCAUUAGCCAUAUCGUUAUAUAUACAUAUACUUAUAUAUACGUGUAAAAAUCAUGAUCAUAAAUCGAUGCUAAUUAAAACACAAUUUUUUCACUUGCCAAUUUCGAGAAAUCAGACUAUAAAUAUUGAAGUCGUAGAGCUAACAAAGCUUUUAAGCUUCGUUGAGUUUGCACACACAC